GUGGCUCAGUUCAGAUCGUAGGCUGCAACUCGCCUACGUGAAGUAGGAAUCGCUAGUAAUCGCAGGUCAGCAUACUGCGGUGAAUACGUUCCCGGGCCUUGUACACACCGCCCGUCACACCAUGGAAGUUGGCCACGCCCGAAGUCGUUACUUUAACCCUUGUGGAGAAGGACGCCGAAGGUGGGGCUGAUGACUGGGGUGAAGUCGUAACAAGGUAGCCGUACCGGAAGGUGCGGCUGGAUCACCUCCUAA
rnacentral:rRNA from 1 species